AUUGAACGCUGGCGGCAUGCCUUACACAUGCAAGUCGAACGGCAGCACGGGAGCAAUCCUGGUGGCGAGUGGCGAACGGGUGAGUAAUAUAUCGGAACGUGCCCAGUCGUGGGGAUAACGUAGCGAAAGCUACGCUAAUACCGCAUACGAUCUAUGGAUGAAAGCGGGGGACCGCAAGACCUCGCGCGAUUGGAGCGGCCGAUAUCAGAUUAGGUAGUUGGUGAGGUAAAGGCUCACCAAGCCGACGAUCUGUAGCUGGUCUGAGAGGACGACCAGCCACACUGGGACUGAGACACGGCCCAGACUCCUACGGGAGGCAGCAGUGGGGAAUUUUGGACAAUGGGCGCAAGCCUGAUCCAGCAAUGCCGCGUGCAGGAUGAAGGCCUUCGGGUU
rnacentral:rRNA from 1 species